UACGAAGGGGGCUAGCGUUGUUCGGAUUUACUGGGCGUAAAGCGCACGUAGGCGGCUUGGUCAGUUAGGGGUGAAAUCCUGGAGCUCAACUCCAGAACUGCCUUUAAUACUGCCAGUCUCGAGUCCGGAAGAGGUAAGUGGAACUCCUAGUGUAGAGGUGGAAUUCGUAGAUAUUAGGAAGAACACCAGUGGCGAAGGCGGCUUACUGGUCCGGUACUGACGCUGAGGUGCGAAAGCGUGGGGAGCAAACAGG
rnacentral:rRNA from 1 species